AAAUUGAAGAGUUUGAUCAUGGCUCAGAUUGAACGCUGGCGGCAGGCCUAACACAUGCAAGUCGAACGGUAACAGGAAGCAGCUUGCUGCUUUGCUGACGAGUGGCGGACGGGUGAGUAAUGUCUGGGAAACUGCCUGAUGGAGGGGGAUAACUACUGGAAACGGUGGCUAAUACCGCAUAAUGUCGCAAGACCAAAGAGGGGGACCUUCGGGCCUCUUGCCAUCAGAUGUGCCCAGAUGGGAUUAGCUUGUUGGUGAGGUAACGGCUCACCAAGGCGACGAUCCCUAGCUGGUCUGAGAGGAUGACCAGCCACACUGGAACUGAGACACGGUCCAGACUCCUACGGGAGGCAGCAGUGGGGAAUAUUGCACAAUGGGCGCAAGCCUGAUGCAGCCAUGCCGCGUGUAUGAAGAAGGCCUUCGGGUUGUAAAGUACUUUCAGCGGGGAGGAAGGUGUUGUGGUUAAUAACCGCAGCAAUUGACGUUACCCGCAGAAGAAGCACCGGCUAACUCCGUGCCAGCAGCCGCGGUAAUACGGAGGGUGCAAGCGUUAAUCGGAAUUACUGGGCGUAAAGCGCACGCAGGCGGUCUGUCAAGUCGGAUGUGAAAUCCCCGGGCUCAACCUGGGAACUGCAUUCGAAACUGGCAGGCUUGAGUCUUGUAGAGGGGGGUAGAAUUCCAGGUGUAGCGGUGAAAUGCGUAGAGAUCUGGAGGAAUACCGGUGGCGAAGGCGGCCCCCUGGACAAAGACUGACGCUCAGGUGCGAAAGCGUGGGGAGCAAACAGGAUUAGAUACCCUGGUAGUCCACGCCGUAAACGAUGUCUACUUGGAGGUUGUGCCCUUGAGGCGUGGUUUCCGGAGCUAACGCGUUAAGUAGACCGCCUGGGGAGUACGGCCGCAAGGUUAAAACUCAAAUGAAUUGACGGGGGCCCGCACAAGCGGUGGAGCAUGUGGUUUAAUUCGAUGCAACGCGAAGAACCUUACCUGGUCUUGACAUCCACGGAAGUUUUCAGAGAUGAGAAUGUGCCUUCGGGAACCGUGAGACAGGUGCUGCAUGGCUGUCGUCAGCUCGUGUUGUGAAAUGUUGGGUUAAGUCCCGCAACGAGCGCAACCCUUAUCCUUUGUUGCCAGCGGUCCGGCCGGGAACUCAAAGGAGACUGCCAGUGAUAAACUGGAGGAAGGUGGGGAUGACGUCAAGUCAUCAUGGCCCUUACGACCAGGGCUACACACGUGCUACAAUGGCGCAUACAAAGAGAAGCGACCUCGCGAGAGCAAGCGGACCUCAUAAAGUGCGUCGUAGUCCGGAUUGGAGUCUGCAACUCGACUCCAUGAAGUCGGAAUCGCUAGUAAUCGUGGAUCAGAAUGCCACGGUGAAUACGUUCCCGGGCCUUGUACACACCGCCCGUCACACCAUGGGAGUGGGUUGCAAAAGAAGUAGGUAGCUUAACCUUCGGGAGGGCGCUUACCACUUUGUGAUUCAUGACUGGGGUGAAGUCGUAACAAGGUAACCGUAGGGGAACCUGCGGUUGGAUCACCUCCUUA
rnacentral:rRNA from 1 species